rnacentral:rRNA from 1 species
CACGUAGGAGGCGAGCGUUGUCCGGAAUCAUUGGGCGUAAAGAGCGUGUAGGCGGCCAGACAGGUCCGUUGUGAAAACUCGAGGCUCAACCUCGAGACGCCGAUGGAAACCGUCUGGCUAGAGUCCGGAAGAGGAGAGUGGAAUUCCUGGUGUAGCGGUGAAAUGCGCAGAUAUCAGGAAGAACACCCGUGGCUAAGGCGGCUCUCUAGUACGGUACUGACGCUGAGACGCGAAAGCGUGGGGAGCGAACAGG